UUCCAGUUUUGUUGGUUUUUUUGUCGAGUUUUUAUUCGUCCCCGCACGCCCCUCCACCUUCCCUACCCAGGUCGCCGCACACCACCGCCGCCGCCGCCGCCGCGAAUCCCCGGGGACGCCGCACGCCGCCGCCGCCACCGCAAAUCCCCAGGGACGCCGCACGCCGCCGCCGCUGCGAAUCCCCAGGGACGCCGCACGCCACCGCCGUCGUGAAUCACCAGAGACGCCGCUCGCCGCCGCCGCGAAUCCCCAGGGAUGUCGCUGCCACCGCCGCGGAUCCCCAAGGGCGUGGUCGCGUUGCCCUGAUUGGAGGAGACCCUGUCGGCCUUGCCUUGUUUGGAGGACUGUGUGCGUCAAUCCCGACCUCCGCUUUCCCCCUUUUCCAUCAAGGACCGCCGCCGCUGCUUCGUCUUCUAUCUCUGCGGAUCCCCAUCGGCACCUGCUGGAUGGUGCUCCGGGAACAGGGCCGCACGGAGGCCCUCCACCCGUAGGUUGUGCAGACGCGGCGCGCCUUGCAGCGGCUAUUCGGGAUGAGCGCGGGCGCGACAACCUUGUCCCAGUCGACGAUGGUGGCGGCGAAUGCCGGUGCUCCUUCUCGUCCUCUACCUCCAAGGACGCGCACCGGUAUAGCUCAGACACCCCCGUCCCCAAAUCCCGUCCACCCAUCCGGCGUUGUCCAGCUCAUCCUCACGCUCGUGGAUUCGCCUCCUCCUGUACGCGACACUUAAAACGUGGACGUGUUUGUAUUCAGUCUGUAUGCGUCUGGAUGUGAAUGGCACUUGCAGUAUGCGGCUGCUCCUUGGUUGUCCAUUUGUAUGCGUCCAUAGUCUGAAGCAGAACCUCCAUCUUCUAUCUCAACGUCGGCAGCCCGACGGCGCCGACUCCUUAUCGACGCCCGUCGGCGGCCCGGUGAUGCGACCAGAUCACUGCAAAUUGCUCCAUUCAUGUCAGCAGCCUGAUCAGGUGGAGGUGGUCGUGCUGGCGCCACUGUUUUGCUUCAUGCUGAUGCGGUAUAAAAGUGCCUCCUCGGCAGAUGAGGACCUGAGCGUGGCCAUGCUAAUGAGGAUGCAGGAUCCACCGCCACCGGCCAGUCCGAGUGCGUUGUUGUUUUCAUUCUUUGGGUCCUAGGGAUUUCGAAAUCAGGUGAUUGCAGAGAACUUGGCAGGCAGAUCAAUUACGAGGAGGUCAAGGCUGAGCUAGAAUGGGGUGGGCGCCAACAUGAAGGAGCUGGAGAUAUCUCUAUUUUUGUCAGUCAUUAUUCAGGCUCUAAGCUUCCCCUUUCCCUAUACCACAUUACUUGAUAUUAUUAAAUUCAGUAUGCUUACUCAACUGUGAACAAGUUCAUGUGGUAAGUAGGAUCAACAAGAGUUGGCUGGCAACUGCUAUGUAUAUGUUAUUAUGGAUCAGCCAAGGUGGUUAAAUUUUAUUUUUUUCCUUUUUCUUAAUUUAUGCCCUUAAGUUUAUGCUGUUAAAUGCAUACACAUAACUUAGUUCCAGAUUUAACAAGAGUACAUUUUACAAUGAACUUCAUAGCUGAUGUUGAUCAUAAUUAGUAAGUGUACAAAGCAUUUCAAGGAAUUUCUGUUUUGUGCAUAUUGUAUAUUGCAGACUUGCAGUGAAGUAGUGCCAUCUAAGUACCAGAUGUAUGUUAUUUUCAAAUAAGCUUUUCUUAAAAUGGAAAAUACUAAAAAGCAAAUUGUGCCACACCGUGCAAUUAAGGUGCCUUUUACUGGAAACUCAAUGCAACUUCUUGUUAUUUUCAAAUAAGCUUUUCUUAAAAUGGAAAAUACUAAAAGGCAGAUUGUGCCACACCGUGCAAUUAAGGUGCCUUUUACUGGAAACUCAAUGCAACUUCUUGUUAUUCCUUCUGAACCUAGCAAUUAAGCCAUAUCUUGUUUUCACUCCUUCUGAACCUAGCAAAAUGACCUGCUUGGACCGAACGAGGACAGGUGUGUGGUGGUGGACAUAAGAUGCACGGCGAACAUUGAGCUACAGAAGAACAUUAUGAAAGAGGUUGGAGAGGCUGGAGGAGACCAUAUACCAACACAAAGCGCAUCUUGAUGGCCAUCAAUGAGGAGCUGGACCUGCUACACCAGGCUAAUUGCAAGCAUUGGGAUGAUUUGGAUGAGAUGACUGAUGAGGACAUGAGCGUUGUCGGAUGAUUUGGACGAGAGGACUGUAGCACGACGCAAUGAAGAGCCAGAUCGUCCGUCCGCUCCCAGCUCACUUCCCAGUUCUGUUGUGCUGCCCCGUGCACCAACCAUCCAGUAAAGGUUCUGAGGUUAACAUCUCUUUUGCAAGUUUCGUAUAACUUUCGUUGUCACUUUAUUAUCUAUUGAUCCACAUGUUUGUAUUUUAACAGACAUGAGUACUUUAUCAUCUUUCCAGGAAGAAAUUACUAGAGAGAAGAAAACUCAGUUUUACAAGUAGUGACAGUCCAACAUCAUAUUGACACAUCUGGUUUCUCUUUCCACAAGCAGGGUCGAGUGGGGUGAUAUACUAGGCGCUUUCUUCUAAAUUGUACAGAAAGUCCACUGAGUUAUUGUUGUUUGUAUGCCACCUUAGAGCGAAAUAGUACUUCUUUUAAUCAUUUUUUAGGUGAAAUACAAGCAUGUAGCUACCUCACUUAAUUAUUGUACUCACUUGAAGUUUAUGUUGAUACAAUGCACUAUUUAAGUAGUAGAGAAACCUCACAAAUUUAAAUUGAUGAAUGAUAUUUAGGAAAAGAAGUAGGCAUGUUUCAUUAUAAAGGGAAAGUCUUUUUCAAGGCAUAGUGUUUAAUUCAUGAAUGGUUAAACAGUUUAACGGGGACCAACACUGGGUAGCAGGGGAGUGGCAGUGCAUAGAGAUAUAGUGAGGGGAGCGGGGGCGAUGAUGGAGGCGGAGAUGUUUAGAGAGAGAUAUAGAGAGUGGGAGGUUCACCAUGGUGCAAUCGAAAACCAAGGCACACCUUGCUAAGACAAGCACACUUUAAAACAUAGCAAUACUCUGCAUUGUUUGAUGUUGGUAUCAGGACCAGGUACCAUGUGAAGCUCAAGGAAUGGUUGUAGAUCAUUAUGGAUAAACUAAAAAAAAAGAUCAUUAUGGAGUACAUUAUAAACGGCAUUUGGUGUCGGCGGCAUGUCACUACCACUGACAAAGUUCUCUGAAACACGAUUACUAUCAUGUACAAUGCUUUACAGUUCUCUCAUAUUCAAAUGCUAAAAUUCUGUAAUUUCAUAUUUAGUAGUUUCUGCGGUGUGAAAUUCAUGUUUUAUUUUGCUUGUGCAGUUGAAAAUAAAUGUUGGCAAAGAUAUUAAAAUUCAAAUCUGGCUUAUUUUUCUCAAUAUGGGUUCAGAAGGAAAUUGUCGUUGAGCUUCUAUCUAAAGGCACUUUUUCAUUAGAUUUCAGCAGCGGCUGAUGGCAGCAACCUCAUGGGCCACACAUCCCCUUCUUUAAUUGCAUGCCCUCACAAAAUGGAUGGGGACUUGGUUCUUUGGUUGUCGCCGCCGGACUCAGUGAAGGACGAAAAAUUGAGAUGAUCUAGUGGAGAAUAGAUGCCACGGGCUGAAGAAAGGAGGCGACGGUUUCAGAGCACACACCUUGAAGCGGAGAGGCGGCAAGGGAGUGCGUCUGGAUGGCAAGAGGGAGCGGGACAAGGCAACAUCACAUGGGAGGCAUGGUCAAAAUCGGCGCCGUAGGAGCAAUCGUGCGCGUGGGGGUCGUACCAGGGAGAAGGAAAAGGAUGGUCGGUUUUCUAGGGCUUUUUUCCUUGCAUCGGGAAAUGGGUUUGGUUGAAAAAAACGAUGAUGUGGGGAGGUUAUGCGAGUGGUGGAUACGUGGGUACCAUUUAAUGUACCAAGUGCGCUUUAAUAGUAGAGAUUAAGAUGUUGAUAUUUUAUUCAUUUUCUUCUUAGCUGAACAUUCUUUAAACCAAAAAUCUAUGAAACUUGUAAUGUAUCAUGGUCGCAAUUUGUGAAGUAGAACUAACUAUCCUUUGACCAAAUACCCUUUGACCAUUCAUCAAUUUUUAUGUACUUGUCGCCCGUGACAACAAAUAUGGAUCAAA